CUUUCCCUCUUUCUUCCUGCUUUACACAUGCAAGUCGAACGGCAGCGCGGGCUUCGGCCUGGCGGCGAGUGGCGAACGGGUGAGUAAUGCAUCGGAACGUGCCCAGUAGUGGGGGAUAGCCCGGCGAAAGCCGGAUUAAUACCGCAUACGACCUGAGGGUGAAAGCGGGGGACCGAAAGGCCUCGCGCUAUUGGAGCGGCCGAUGUCGGAUUAGCUAGUUGGUGGGGUAAAGGCUUACCAAGGCGACGAUCCGUAGCUGGUCUGAGAGGACGACCAGCCACACUGGGACUGAGACACGGCCCAGACUCCUACGGGAGGCAGCAGUGGGGAAUUUUGGACAAUGGGGGCAACCCUGAUCCAGCCAUGCCGCGUGCGGGAAGAAGGCCUUCGGGUUGUAAACCGCUUUUGUUCGGGAAGAAAUCCUCUGGGCUAAUACCCCGGGGGGAUGACGGUACCGGAAGAAUAAGCACCGGCUAACUACGUG
rnacentral:rRNA from 1 species